CUGAUGCUCGACGAGGGCGUCGUCGCCGACGCCCGCGACAUCGACCUGUGCAUGAUCCUCGGCGCGGGCUGGCCGUUCCACCUCGGCGGCGUCAGCCC
rnacentral:tRNA from 1 species